ACCGGCUUAUCUAUCUUGUUGUUAAGACACAAAAUCCAUUUGGGACCCAUGUGUUUUGAUCCCUGCUCUGCAUUUCCACCUCUGCACAAAGCAGUGUCUGCUUCAAACUGCGGAACCAAUGCAUCCCAUUCGGUUCCACUGUGAUAAUCACAAGGACGACAUGAUUAUAAGAAAGUUCUUUCCUCUCUGAAUGUGAAACACUUUGCCUCUCAAAUAAUUAAUUAUACAAAAUUCAUUUGAGAAGAGUUUCUUCUGUGAAUACAGUUUAAUGAGCAUAACGAGUAGGCCUGGUCAACUUGACCAACUAAAGUAAUGGACUUGAAAUUGUUAAAAUUCAUCACAGUUAUCAAAUCCUGAAUUAAAGCAGUAUCAUGUAAACCUAUCACUCUCCUUUGCUGGUUUUUAACAACCCACACAUUUCCCUUUCUAGUUAAGAACAUUGAUCCAGGCCAUCACACUAUUCACAAACACCAUCAUCAUCAUCAUCGCCCACUUCCCUUUUUCUAAAUAUCCAUAAUUGCUUCAACAACAACAACAAAAACCCAUCUGUCUCUUAACAUUGAUAUUAGCAUAGCUUUCACUCACUCGAAACAAAGUGCCCACAACCUGGAACUCUUGUUCAGAUCAUCAACAACACAUUUUCAAUCUCGUUUCCGAAUGAUAUACCACAAAGAUCCAUUGCCUCAUCCAUUGUUUUUACCAUAUCCCUACCCAAUGUUCUCACUCUGCAUUUCCAAUCUCUCUACAAUAAACUAUAUUUUACACACAUAGACCAUUUGCUAUUGUGUAAACACUAAAAAUGAAAGUUCAUCAAGGUAUUCAAAGGACACCGUUUCUUUGUGCUGCAAGUUCCAAACCUCGCUGUCCCCACCCUGCAAUAAUGUCCAGAUGCGUUUACAAGAUGCCAGAAGAUUGCUUCAAUGCUAUCAUCCAAAUGCUCUCUUUUCCGUUCAGUUCAGAAACAUUCAAAAGACACAUUCAUAUAAAAAUAUCUGCAGCAUCAGUAAACACAUUAGCCUCGAACAAUGUGCUGGAAUGUUUGCUAACAAUACAAAGGGCAAAAGAACAACAGCUCUCUCCUCCAUGGCCACCACCAGAAUCUAAUGGAGUGAAUGCAACACUUCCCAAAUUGUCACACUGCACCUCAUGUUGAAAGGUGCUGUAUGGUCUUCAACUUGGUGGAAGAAUAGAUCUGUGGACUGCAUUUUGUUGUUUGACCAACUUCUUGCAUGCCACACCGGUUUGCUUGAGCAGAGCUACCAAGGCCACGCAGCAAUGCUAUUUGGGUUAAGAAUAAAGACAGUCACUUUGUUAAAAGCCUCUCUAUCCAAGUGACUGACAUCAACGAUGUACAACCACAGUUUACCAAAGAUACAUUCCAAUUCCUCACCUAUGAAAACAAAGAUAAAGACUUCCCUAUUGGGUUUGUCA